AGUCGCCUUCCUGAACGUAUACUGCAUGUAUCCUGAGUGAAUUAUAUCUCAGGUAUACCUGUUGUAUACGUAACAGGCAAGCACUA
rnacentral:pre_miRNA from 12 species